rnacentral:rRNA from 1 species
GUCUGUGGCCAUACCACCCUGAAUGGGCCCGAUCUUAUCUGAUCCCGGAAGCUAAGCAGGGGCGGGCCUGAUUAGUACUUGGUUGGGAGUAUAUCCAUAAGAUUAAUAUAUAUA